CCUACGGUGUGCUGCAGUGGGGAAUAUUGGACAAUGGGCGAAAGCCUGAUCCAGCCAUGCCGCGUGUGUGAAGAAGGCCUUCGGGUUGUAAAGCACUUUCAGUGGGGAAGAAAGCCUUGGGGCUAAUACCCUCGAGGAAGGACAUCACCCACAGAAGAAGCACCGGCUAACUCCGUGCCAGCAGCCGCGGUAAUACGGAGGGUGCGAGCGUUAAUCGGAAUUACUGGGCGUAAAGCGCGCGUAGGCGGUCUGAUAAGCCGGUUGUGAAAGCCCCGGGCUCAACCUGGGAACGGCAUCCGGAACUGUCAGGCUAGAGUGCAGGAGAGGAAGGUAGAAUUCCCGGUGUAGCGGUGAAAUGCGUAGAGAUCGGGAGGAAUACCAGUGGCGAAGGCGGCCUUCUGGACUGACACUGACGCUGAGGUGCGAAAGCGUGGGUAGCAAACAGGAUUAGAUACCCGUGUAGUC
rnacentral:rRNA from 1 species